UACGUAGGGUGCGAGCGUUGUCCGGAAUUACUGGGCGUAAAGGGUGCGCAGGCGGCCAAGUGUGUGAGGCGUGAAAGCCUGGGGCUUAACCCCAGAAUUGCACCUCAAACUACUUGGCUAGAGCAUUGGAGAGGGUAGCAGAAUUCAUGGUGUAGCAGUGAAAUGCGUAGAUAUCAUGAGGAAUACCAGAGGCGAAGGCGGCUACCUGGACAAUUGCUGACGCUCAGGCACGAAAGCGUGGGGAGCAAAAGGG
rnacentral:rRNA from 1 species